ACUAAUAUACUAUGGAUGGAACAAAAUCAACAAAAUAUAUAUUAUAAGACGCACCAAAUGAAAAUUCAAUUUGAGUUAGCCAAGUAUGGUAUAAGUUUUAGGGAAAUCUUAAACUCAGAUUUCGAAUUUUAUAUUAAUAUUUGAAACACAUUUUCUGGGCACUAUAUCCAUGCAAAAAUUAUACAAAAAUUGUUGUUUACCUUUAUGCAAAUGAAUGGCCACUUUUAUGUUACCAUAACUAAAAGAAACACAAAUAUGUCUCAACUUCUAUUCUACAAAUGUACAAAGUUUCAUCAAAAGAUCACUCCACGUUACUUUGACCAGAAUUAAGAAGGUUCUACAGUUACGCUACAAACUACAGUACUGUUUGUAUUUGAACGCGCGUUUUCUAACCUCUCGUACAGGCUCUGUUCACAGACUUCGCGACAUAAGAAGACGGUUCGUUCCGAGGGAGACAAAUUACGAAAGGAAUGAAACCAUCACGCGGUGUACGCGAGACAAGACGCGGCGGAAUACUGAGGCGAAGCCAGAUCGUUUGUGUCUCUACGGUGGGCUCUGUGUACUUGGACCUAUGGUGGGGGCGAGAUUGGCGCAUGCGUGUCUGCACUUCCACUCUAAUUACCAAUGGAUAUGAUUUUGAAAAAAAAAAGACUGGGAUUUUCAGUUUUAGAUCCUAGCUUUAUCGUGAGACUUUCUUCGAAUACGUACAGUGGGUGUAGAAUGUAUUCGUACACCGAUAAAUUUUCAAAAAAACUUUUGUGUGAAAUUGUAGUUUCUUAACUUCUUUUUUUAUAAUCAAUGAUAUUUUACAUAUUCCCCGAAGUCUCUAAGAUAGAUACAGUCCAAAUAACGUUAUUAGUUAAUAUAAUUUAUGAAAUUAACAAAAAAAAAUGCGAAAAGUAGGUAAAAGUAUAGAAGCAAUAAGUAUUUGUACGAUUCUUAUGACGAACCAUUUACAGUAGAGUUUGUAACGUAAACACAUUAGUGUAUUGCUCCGUACGAAUUAGAAAACAUCAAAUUUCCAGUAAAGUACUUUUAAACAGUUGUGCGAAUACUUAUUGCUUCAAUAUUUCCAUCGAUUAAUCGUUUUUUUCUUGUUAAUUUCACAACUUACAUAAAUAGCUAUAUUUUGUAAAAUAUCUAUUCUAGAGAUUUCCGAGACUAUGUAGAAUGUCAUUGUUUAUAAAAAAUAAGUUAAUAAAUUACAAUUUUACAUAGUUUUUUUGGAAAUUGAUCGGUGUAUGAAUACUUUCUACACUGUAAGUUUUUGCGGUUCUCUUCUUAAGUUAUCGAGGGAGAAUUUCUUCUUGUGAUUCAAUAGGACGAUCAAGAAAAAUGAGGUAUAAAGAUAUAAUAAACCUUUAUAUUCUCACUCCUCGACGUUUUCAAAAAGAAAUGCUGAAUCUUGCUUUUUUAUACCUCAUUAAAUCAUUGUUUCUGCUAGUAUGAGUGCUCUAAAAUAUUAUAUUAAUGAUAAAAUGCUGAUAAAUAUUCCUCCAUCGGAAUAUAAUAACUCUCUUAAGGAUAUAACGGAAUUCUCAGGAACUAACUAAAAUAAAAAAUAAACAAGCUUCCUUACACGUACAUCUUUUUGUUAUUCACAUACAAAGCGAAUAA